AUUGAACGCUGGCGGCAGGCCUAACACAUGCAAGUCGAGCGGAUGAAGGGAGCUUGCUCCUGGAUUCAGCGGCGGACGGGUGAGUAAUGCCUAGAAACUGCCCGGUUGUGGGGGAUAAAGUCCGGAAAAGGGCGCUAAUACCGCAUACGUCCUGGGGGGGGAAGGGGGGGGUCUUCGGACCUCACGCUAUCCGAUUAGCCUAGGUCGGAUUAGCUAGUUGGUGGGGUAAAGGCCUACCAAGGCGACGAUCCGUAACUGGUCUGAGAGGAUGAUCAGUCACACUGGAACUGAGACACGGUCCAGACUCCUACGGGAGGCAGCAGUGGGGAAUAUUGGACAAUGGGCGAAAGCCUGAUCCAGCCAUGCCGCGUGUGUGAAGAAGGUCUUCGGAUUGUAAAGCACUUUAAGUUGGGAGGAAGGGCAGUAAGUUAAUACCUUGCUGUUUUGACGUUACCAACAGAAUAAGCACCGGCUAACUUCGUG
rnacentral:rRNA from 1 species